AGAGUUUGAUCCUGGCUCAGGAUGAACGCUGGCGGCGUGCCUAAUACAUGCAAGUCGAGCGAACGGACGAGAAGCUUGCUUCUCUGAUGUUAGCGGCGGACGGGUGAGUAACACGUGGAUAACCUACCUAUAAGACUGGGAUAACUUCGGGAAACCGGAGCUAAUACCGGAUAAUAUUUUGAACCGCAUGGUUCAAAAGUGAAAGACGGUCUUGCUGUCACUUAUAGAUGGAUCCGCGCUGCAUUAGCUAGUUGGUAAGGUAACGGCUUACCAAGGCAACGAUGCAUAGCCGACCUGAGAGGGUGAUCGGCCACACUGGAACUGAGACACGGUCCAGACUCCUACGGGAGGCAGCAGUAGGGAAUCUUCCGCAAUGGGCGAAAGCCUGACGGAGCAACGCCGCGUGAGUGAUGAAGGUCUUCGGAUCGUAAAACUCUGUUAUUAGGGAAGAACAUAUGUGUAAGUAACUGUGCACAUCUUGACGGUACCUAAUCAGAAAGCCACGGCUAACUACGUGCCAGCAGCCGCGGUAAUACGUAGGUGGCAAGCGUUAUCCGGAAUUAUUGGGCGUAAAGCGCGCGUAGGCGGUUUUUUAAGUCUGAUGUGAAAGCCCACGGCUCAACCGUGGAGGGUCAUUGGAAACUGGAAAACUUGAGUGCAGAAGAGGAAAGUGGAAUUCCAUGUGUAGCGGUGAAAUGCGCAGAGAUAUGGAGGAACACCAGUGGCGAAGGCGACUUUCUGGUCUGUAACUGACGCUGAUGUGCGAAAGCGUGGGGAUCAAACAGGAUUAGAUACCCUGGUAGUCCACGCCGUAAACGAUGAGUGCUAAGUGUUAGGGGGUUUCCGCCCCUUAGUGCUGCAGCUAACGCAUUAAGCACUCCGCCUGGGGAGUACGACCGCAAGGUUGAAACUCAAAGGAAUUGACGGGGACCCGCACAAGCGGUGGAGCAUGUGGUUUAAUUCGAAGCAACGCGAAGAACCUUACCAAAUCUUGACAUCCUUUGACAACUCUAGAGAUAGAGCCUUCCCCUUCGGGGGACAAAGUGACAGGUGGUGCAUGGUUGUCGUCAGCUCGUGUCGUGAGAUGUUGGGUUAAGUCCCGCAACGAGCGCAACCCUUAAGCUUAGUUGCCAUCAUUAAGUUGGGCACUCUAAGUUGACUGCCGGUGACAAACCGGAGGAAGGUGGGGAUGACGUCAAAUCAUCAUGCCCCUUAUGAUUUGGGCUACACACGUGCUACAAUGGACAAUACAAAGGGCAGCGAAACCGCGAGGUCAAGCAAAUCCCAUAAAGUUGUUCUCAGUUCGGAUUGUAGUCUGCAACUCGACUACAUGAAGCUGGAAUCGCUAGUAAUCGUAGAUCAGCAUGCUACGGUGAAUACGUUCCGGGUCUUGUACACACCGCCCGUCACACCACGAGAGUUUGUAACACCCGAAGCCGGUGGAGUAACCUUUUAGGAGCUAGCCGUCGAAGGUGGGACAAAUGAUUGGGGUGAAGUCGUAACAAGGUAGCCGUAUCGGAAGGUGCGGCUGGAUCACCU
rnacentral:rRNA from 1 species